rnacentral:rRNA from 1 species
UGGGGAAUCUUGGACAAUGGGCGCAAGCCUGAUCCAGCCAUGCCGCGUGGAUGAUGAAGGCCUUAGGGUUGUAAAAUCCUUUCGCCGAGGACGAUAAUGACGGUACUCGGAGAAGAAGCUCCGGCUAACUUCGUGCCAGCAGCCGCGGUAAUACGAAGGGGGCUAGCGUUGUUCGGAUUUACUGGGCGUAAAGCGCGCGUAGGUGGUUUGUUAAGUUGGAUGUGAAAUCCCCGGGCUCAACCUGGGAACUGCAUUCAAAACUGACAAGCUAGAGUAUGGUAGAGGGUGGCGGAAUUCUCGGUGUAGAGGUGAAAUUCGUAGAUAUCGAGAGGAACACCGGUGGCGAAGGCGGCCAACUGGACGAAUACUGACGCUGAGACUCGAAAGCGUGGGGAGCAAACAGGAUUAGAUACCCCCGUAGUCCCUGAGCGGGCUGGCAAGGCGCAU